ACGGAAGGCAGCAGUGGGGAAUAUUGGACAAUGGGGGCAACCCUGAUCCAGCGACGCCGCGUGAGUGAAGAAGUAUUUCGGUAUGUAAAGCUCUAUCAGCAGGGAAGAAAAUGACGGUACCUGACUAAGAAGCCCCGGCUAACUACGUGCCAGCAGCCGCGGUAAUACGUAGGGGGCAAGCGUUAUCCGGAUUUACUGGGUGUAAAGGGAGCGUAGACGGCGAAGCAAGUCUGAAGUGAAAACCCACGGCUCAACUGUGGGACUGCUUUGGAAACUGUUUUGCUAGAGUGUCGGAGAGGUGAGUGGAAUUCCCAGUGUAGCGGUGAAAUGCGUAGAUAUUGGGAGGAACACCGGUGGCGAAGGCGGCUCACUGGACGAUAACUGACGUUGAGGCUCGAAAGCGUGGGGAACAAACAGGAUUAGAUACCCUGGUA
rnacentral:rRNA from 1 species